rnacentral:rRNA from 1 species
AUGCCCGUGGCUGGUGGCGGCGGAGCCAAGGCGGGUAGAAGUGCGGAGAGGAGCUCCAACGAGCAAAUCAUGGUGUCACGCGGCGGAGGCGGGGCUCGCCGCCGAUGCUUUCACCUCUCUCCUUGUCGUCAUUCUCCUUCCCGGGACUCCUCUGAGCUCGCCAUAGUCUCCCCCAAGGUGAGAUGCGUAUUAUCUUUCUCCCCCUUUAUAUCGAUGCACAGAGGUAUCGUGCCCAUCGAAUCCAUGGCCUGUCACUGUGACCGGAGUUUCAAGAGCUCAGCAGGUCAUUAUAGUUGUGAGAUUCUACGACCCAUAGUAUCCCCGCAGUUUGUGGUGUGA